GUCUUGGAUGAGCCAUGUGGUUUGACUAGAUGUACAAGUCUAUAUUCUGCUCAUUGAUUGGUUAAAGGUAUAUGUGGGUGUAGCUAUUAAUGGGAGGAGUUAUAGUGCUAUAUAAGGAAUGUACACUAUGUGUUGGGCUCUCAGAAUGUUGGAACAGGAGUUCAUCUGAGACCCGAUCGGUAAUGUGAAUAAAGGCCUGUUACUUCCUGAAGACCUG